AUUGAACGCUGGCGGCAGGCCUAACACAUGCAAGUCGAUCGAGCGGCGGACGGGCGAGUAAUGUCUGGGGACCUGCCCGAUAGAGGGGGAUACCUACUGGCAAUGGUGGCUAAUACCGCAUACUUUCGGAUGCACCCACAGGGGCUUAGCUAGUAGGUGGGGUAAAGGCCCCCCUGGGCGACGAUCGCUAGCUGGUCUGAGAGGACGAUCAGCCAAACUGGGACGGAGACACGGUCCAGACUCCUACGGGAGGCAGCAGUGGGGAAUAGUGCACAAUGGGCGCAAGCCUGAUGCAGCCAUGCCGCGUGUAUGAAGAAGGCUGUGGGGUUGUAAAGUACUUUCGGCGGGGAGGCGUUACCCGCAGAAGAAGCACCGGCUAACGCCGUGCCAGCCGCCGCGGUAAUUC
rnacentral:rRNA from 1 species